rnacentral:lncRNA from 1 species
CAGAAACAUAGACUCCAUCUUUUGUCCAUGUGGAGAGGGGGAGAGAGAGAAAUGACAGAACGGCCGAGGCAGGAGGUGCGGUGUGUGGUACAAGGGCAGUGGCAGAGCUGGAGCAGAUCCAUGCUCAGUGCCACAGCGACUGCAUCACAGCCCUGUGCUGAGCGCUCGGACAUGCAGUCAGAACCAGCUAACAUCAUCUCCUGCUCUUCACUCUUCAGGGUACCCAGCCAGCCAUGGCAGAAUGCACAUGUCCAAUGCUGUGUGUGUGUAUUACCAGCCUGCCUGGCUGCUCAUGUUUCUCACCUGUCCCCAAGCCCAGGGAAAUCCAGCGCUCCGAAGCAUUCCUGAGGUGGAGUAGGAGGCUGCAAAAACAAGCACUGCCAAGGAAUCAUCUGACUGUGUAUAAAGGUCAGGCAAAGGCACUUCCUGUAUUUUUUCAGACACACGGUGGUCCUCAGAGAUAGCUUGAUCUUUCUGCAGAUUUGAUAAACCCUUGGAAAUACAUAACUGCACAAGUACACCAUUUCCUUCCUCCACACACAACCUUUUGUUGCUAAGUUUCUGGUACAAUGGCUUUCACCAGCUUGAUUAGCAGCAGCUCGUAAAAAGAUCCGAGUUAAGUGGUGUGUUCAGCCACCACAGGGCUGUUCCUUUGUGUAUUCAGCCAUAGUUGCUCAAUGUAGUCAUAAGAGUGAAUGUUUUGUUGCUUAUCUCUAUUGUUUUUCACUUCAGCUCAAUCUGCAUUCAGUAGAAGUAUCAACUGUUUUCUUCUAAUAUAACGUACCUGCCCAGCUAAAAGCAAUGGGAAAAAUGAAGACUGAGAUUGCACCAAAAAUACCUAAAAGCAGAAUCUGAAGGUUAUCAGAGUACAGCAGUGUCUUUGACAGCAACAUUCGGCCAGCAGCAUCCUUAGAAAAAGGAGAAAGGCUUUUGAAAACAACCAUUGGAGCAGCAUCUUUCUGGCUGCCCAACUUGCAGCACCUUAAAGGAGCUCAGCUUGAGAUGGAAGGUGAUCUGCAGUGCCCACAGCUCAGGUCCUUUUGGUCUCUUUUCAUUUCCCUCUUCAGUGUUGUGGCUGAUACCAAUCCUUGCUGGUAUUUGCUCAUAUUUAGCAUUAGGCAGAGUUUGCUGCCCACUGCAGGCUGCAUUCUCUAAUAAAAUAAAAAUAAAAAUAAAAAUAAAAAUAAAAAUAAAAAUAAAAAUAAAAAUAAAAAGGAGAUCUUACAAAGAGAUCUUGGAGCACAAAGAUCUCACAUCAGUGUGCCAGACUGACAGCCUCAGAGUAGUUUCCAUUCCUCAGGUGAGGAACAAAUGAUAAGAAAUGGAGUGGAGUGGUCCAUGUGCAUCCCCAGACAGCAGGCUGAGUGCCGUGCUGGAAGCUUGAGGGAUGAUAGCAGGGAAUCUCCCCUCCCAGCACAAACUGGGAGAAAAUAAACAAGGAAUGUGAUGGCAUUGAAACCACUUUCUGCUUUUCCCCGGAGGACGUGGCUGAUGGAAUUUAAGUAUUUCGGGCUUCAAUCAGAAAGUUUACACAACAGAUGGUUGGAAUCACACGACUGUGAGCCAUAAGGCAAUCAGGACAGCAGAAACUCUGCAUGGAACUUCAAAAUCCAGACCCAGGCAGGAAGAACUGCUCCCAGGGAAAUCAGAGGUCGCUUGGCUAUUAUUUUCUACUCACCUAAUGUUCACCCAGUGUUUCUGGUUUGUACUCAAAUGCUCAGAAGGAACCCAGAAAGGGAGAACAAACAGGAAUUCUUACUGCUUAAUUACAGACAUCAGAUUUAGAGCCUCCUUUCAAUGAUAUAAACCCUUUUCAUCCCCACUCCAUUGCUCCUUAGAGGAUGGUGCUCCCAGCUUAAGCACUUGGUAGAUGCUUUAAGUUCGGAGCUGCCAAAUUCUUCCCAUGUCAAGCAGCCAAGAUUACUGCUAUCUCUAUUCCCAUAUGCCAGCCGUGAGUGAGAAGAUGGGCCCAGAGCAGCCAUCCUUUGGAUUCGCAGGGCAGGCUGCCCUCAGAAGCCCCUGGCAUUACCUGCUCUCUGGAGAGCUGCUGGCUGAUUCCUUAUACCUGAGAAUUCCAUUUCAGCCCUGAGGCUGAAUUUCCAAACAACCGCGGAUUUCUAACGUGCAUCUGAUAUUAUGGCAAUGGAGAGGGAUUUCCCCAGUCUCAGACCUUCCCACUGGUAAAAAGGAGGUGUUUAUAUUACAUAUAUAUUAUUCAUAUAUAUAAAAUAGCACAUAAUAAUACUUAAAUAUAUUGUCGUUACUAAAUGAGGUAUUUGUCAUAGUUUUGCCUAGCAAACAUCUCUAACUAUUCCAGUCCUAAUGAGAUGAUUACUGCAUGAGGACUUGGCUACAACUUCUGUUGGUGCAAAUAUCUGAUGUGAAGCUGGGGUGAUAAUGUUUCAUCUGCAUCCUUACUGCUCGCACGGACAGUAAGUGACCACGGCCAACCCUUUGUGUUAAAAGCCCGGUGAAGCUCAAGAGCCUUCGGUCUGGAAACUGAGUUAAAGGAGCAGACUUUGAAAAGCCUCCUUGCUAUGCUGAUGUAGCAUUCCUAAUGAGCUCUGUGGAAUUAGUGUGUUGGACCUCGGAACAAAAUAGGUUCUCCCACAUCAAACUGAGUGUUGCUGCAUUUGGUGCUAAUUAGAGCUGUAGUCCAGAGGCACAUCUGAGGCUGCGGUUUAUAAAUUCACAUCAAAGCCCCUAUUUGUAUAAUUUUGCACAAUACCUGGCAUAACUUCAUGUUACAGUUCUCAUCUGUAAAAGCAGAACAAGUUGUAAAUACAGCUCAGAGUUUUCAACCAUAUUAGAAACAAGGCAGAGGUCAUCCAAAGGACCGACUUCACCAGGUGUUAUUACACUCACUUGUGGCAGCAGCAAGCCUGCCAGUAUCUGGAUGGGGGCUGCAAAGAAGCAGAGAGACUCCUCGGCAGGGUCCGCUGUGGCAGAACACGGGAAAAUGCUUUCAGACUAAAAGAGGGGAGAUUUAGACUGGAUAGAAGGAAGGAGAUUUUCUCCUAUGAAGUUACAGCUGCUGAAGGAGGAGGCGCAGAGGUUUCUGCUACUUUGCUGCGCAGCUACUUCAGCACAAGAGGUUCCUUCCCCCUUUCCAGGAGCUGCUGCGCGCUGUUUGCUUCGGCCUUUCAUUCGCUCUCUGCCCGAAGCAGCCCGAAGCCGCUGCACCUUCCAGCUCCGCAGCGGGCGCCGCACGCGGUCACGGGCAGCGCCUGUCCGGCUGCACGAGCUCCGUCCUCCCGCGGGUGCGCAACACAGCGCUGCUCCUGCGCGGAUCCUUUGUCGCUCGCGGCGCUGAGCUGCGCUGGUGCGGAGCUGCAGCGGGCGGAGCAGCGCUCGAGUCUCGCGCUCCGGGACCGCGCGCAACCGCGCAGCAGCGCUGCACGAGGCGGAGGGACCGCGCCGGAGCGGCUCGAGGCCGCCGCUGAGGGGCGGAACCGUUAACGGUCGCGGCCGUUAACGGUCGCCGGCGGAGCGGCCACCCACCGCCCGCUGCUGUCCGGUGAGCGCCCACGGCCCGCCCAGCGCCCUCAGGUGUCCCGUCCCGCAACUGCUGCGUGAGCAGUGCAAGCUCUGAGUGUCAGUGCUGGAACGGAGCAGAAUGCCUCCAUGUCGCUGCCUGCACACCCUGAGCUGCACAGCCGUACCUUUGGCACAGAUGAGCUCCAGCAGAGCUGCUCAUAACCCCCUGGAAAGGUGCGAAGGGGAGAAAUGGAGGAGGUUCUCUGAUCCAGCUGGCUUUUCCUGCUGGGGUUCUCAUAGAUGUCACCACGAUUCUGGUAGACCUGAUUCAGCCUUCAUUAGAAAUCUUUGGAUGAAUCCAGACAUACAAAUCAACAGAUAAUUAUCACAGAGAUGAUGUGAGGAAGCCAAUCAGCACAGUCUGGGCUGCAACCUUGGAAACAAAUCCCCAAGUUUGCUGUUCCUCUUCUUCCUCUUUAAAUCUUCCCUGCUGUCUUCAGACUGCUUUACAAGCCCUGUUUAAGCUACCCCAGGUAGAUUGAAGUCUGGAGAAUUACACCUUUCUUGAGCCAGGGUGGCAAAGCAGUCCUACCCCCAACAAAUCUUUCUUGCUCCCACUUAAAGCUGGAAUGUGUUGAUUCUCUUCAGCAAGAGAGGCAUUGCCUCCUGUACCAACACAAUGUGAGUGUGCUACAGAAGAGGUUAUAGAAAGC